rnacentral:RNase_P_RNA from 1 species
CUUGCCGGGUGGGCAGUCGCCCGGAGGGCGGUCUUGGCCGUCCCGGGAGGAAAGUCCGGUCUCCACAGGGCAGCGUGCCGGCUAACGGCCGGGGGGAUCCGCUCAAAGCGGAUUUCACGGAAAGUGCCACAGAAAACAUACCGCCACCACCGGGUGGUAAGGGUGAAAAGGUGCGGUAAGAGCGCACCGCGGCUGGAGCAAUCCAGACCGGCAGGGCAAACCCCACGCGGAGCAAGACCAAAUAGGAGAGGAGGAGUGGCCCGCUCCGUUUGACUCUCGGGUAGGUCGCUUGAGCCCGGCAGUAAUGCCGGGCCUAGAGGAAUGACUGCCGCCCGCAAAGGGUACAGAAACCGGCUUACAGCCCGGCAAGCUCU